UUUUUUUUUUUCCUAUCGUAAGAGCUCUCUGAAGUCUUGUUUGCAGAACUGUCUGCAAGGCUGCUUGUCACCUUCGAAUAUACUCCAUCAACAUGCUGCCACUUCAUCUUGUUUAGGCUCUUCGACUGCUUUAUAGAAGGACACUGAAGUCCACAUCUAUCUCCUUGAGACAGGCAAAGAAACAAAUCCUUUAUCCUGUCUCAAAAAGAGCUGACAAGCUUUUAGUAGUGUUUAUCUUCACUGAAGGGUGAUAACCUUGAAAAUGAAAGUGAAAAGAGACUGAUACAAUUAGAUAAAGAAACCAGGACUCAAAGAUGAAGUAACUUGUUCAAAGUCUGGCAGCUACUAAGUGACAGAGCUGAAAUUCAAGCCACCAACUACAAGGUUCAUAUUCUGUUCACUUCAUCAGGCUGUUUACUGUAGGCAAAAAUACUAUUUUACAGCCAUAAUUAAACAACUUUCUAGCAAACGGCAUUUCUAUCAUUCUAGCACCACUAGCAUUAUCGCCUCUUCUCCCAUUGACAUAUUUUUUUAAGGCACUAACCUGGAAUUUCUUCUUCCAGUACAGAUGGACUAAGGGGGCGCAAACCCCCCUGGGUGAAACAACAAAAAGAAAAACAGAUAAAAUAUAUUAAACAACAGCUCUCAAGAUACUAGCAUCAGGCAACAAACCAAAGUGAUCCCUGUGAGAUAGUAAACAAAUGAGGUGAACCCUAUGACAGGUGCAACUUACUGCUUUGCAGAGUUUCCAGGCCAUGACACUAAGAGGAGAUAUCCAAGCAGAGCCCAGUGAAUGACCCAGAUUGAGGAGACAGAGCUGAAAGUCCAAGAAGACCCAAGGCAGCUGGAAUUUGCAAGACCGAGUACCAGAGAAAAGAGGGCUGAGCAGAGAUAGAAUUCCAGAGAUUUGUAAAGGGUCUCCCUUAAGUAUUUAGCAGAGUAUUAAUCAUUGUAGGCAUUUGAGGCAGUUACCUGUGGCCAGGAAAAAAACCACCCAAGAGGAUUAAAGGAAACAGUGUUUUAGCACUCACACAAGGCCAGAAAUAGCCUAUUUUCCCAUCCAGAUUGACUUAACUUCGUAAUUUGUGGGGCUUUGGGUAAAAAAGUCUACUCAUUAGUUAGUCUUACCUCAGUAGUAGGGAAUAAGUAGAUGUAGACUAAACACUAUACUGGUACCACCAAAAAAGCUUUAAAAACAGACUUAAAAGAAGUAAAUGCUUUUCAAGUAAUUUAACUGCAUCCUAGAACAAAAGACAUGCAAUUGGAGUCCCUGAAAGGAGGAUGUGAGAAAAAAUAUUACAGGAAAUAAUGACUAAAAUUGUUUCAAAUUUGAUGAAAGGAUAGACACAAGAAACUCAACAAAACUCAAAGCGUACAAGAAACAUGAAGAAGCCAGGUGCAGUGGCUCAUACUUGUAGUCCCAGCUGCUUGGGAGGCUGAGGCAGGAGGAUCUCUUGAGCCCAGUAGAUUGAAUCUGCAGUGAGCUGUGAACGCACCACUGUACUCCAGCCUGGGAGACAGAGCAAGACCCUAUCAAAAAAAAAAGGAAGAGACAUGAAGAAAACUACACUAAGGCACACAAUAAUCAAACUGCUCAAAAUCAGUGAUAAAGUGAAAAUCUUAAAUGCAACCAGAAGGAAAAAGACAUUAUAUACAGAGAAACAACGAUAAGGAUGACAUUAGAUUUAACUUCAGUAAUAAUGCAAUCCAGAAAACAGUGGAACAACAUUUUUAAAGUGCUGAAAGAAAAAAGCUAGAAUUCUACUCUCAGUAAAAAUGUCUUUAUAAGAAUUUUUUUCCUUUUUUUCUUUUUUCCUUGAGAUGAAGUCUCACUCUGUUGCCCAGGCUGUUCUUGAACUCCUGAGCUCAAACAACUCUCUGCCUUGGACUCCUAAAGUGCUGGGUGGGAUUACAGGCGUGAACCACCGUGCCUGGCCAGGACAUUUUUGGACAUACGAAGCUGAAAGAGUUCAUCACCAGCAAAUCCAUACUACAAAAAAUGUUAAAGAAAUUCUUCAGGCAGAAGAAAAAUACCCUAUAUGAAAAUUUUAAUCUGCACAAAUAAAUGAAGAGAACCAAAAAUGGUAAUACAUGGCAUGAUUGUUAAUUUUAUGUGCCAACUUAGUGGCCAUGAGGUGCCCAGAUUAAACAUUAUUCCUGGAUGUGUUUGUGAGGGUGUUUCUGAAUGAGAUUACAUUUGAAUCAGCGGACUCAGUAAAGUAGAUUGCCCUCCCAGUGUGGAUGGGCCUCAUCCAAUCUGUUAGGAGCCUAAAUGGAAUAAAGUGUGGCAGAAAGGAAAAUUCACCCCUUUUGCUUCCUGCCUGUCUGGUUGAACUGAGACAUCUCAUCCCAUCUUCCCUAGCACUCAGAUUGGGAUUUACAACACCAGGUCCCUUGGUUCUCAGGCCUUUGGACUUGGACUGAAUUACACCACUGCUUUCCGCGGUCUCCCAACUCGUGGAUGGCAGACUGUGGGACUUCUUAGCCUCCAUAAUCAUCGGAGCCAAUUUCUCAUAAUAAACAUAUUUACUAU
ensembl:lncRNA LINC01825 long intergenic non-protein coding RNA 1825